GGAUAUCAGACCCGUGUAUGUUCAAGUGUAGGUUCCAGGGCAGUUUCCACUAUCUAGAAGGACUAUCUGGCAUAUUGUGCACAGCACUUUAACAGCAUCGACUUUUAGGAGCUGAAAUAGCUCAGUUGGAAUCCCAUCACCGCCACUAGCUUUGUAUGUACUAAUGCUUCCUAAGACCCACUUGACUUCACAUUCCAGGAUGUCUGGCUCUAGGUCAUUGUGAGUGAUCACACCGUCAUGAUUAUCUG